GUCUAUGGCCGUGCUACCCCGAACAAGCCCGAUUCCAUCUGAUCUCAGAAGCUAAGCAGGGUCGGGCCUGGUGAGUACUUGGAUGGGAGACCACCUAGGAAGACUGGGUGCUGUAGUGA
rnacentral:rRNA from 1 species